GCAGUCCCAUGUACAUAGUUUCUAAUCUGUGCCUAGUGGUAUGGUCCGUAAGUGUUCUGCAUUUAGACUGUGUUGCUCACCACAACUUGUGGCUUUAGAACAUCUUGACAUCAUAGCCCUGAUCUAGUGAUGCCAAAAGACAAGAUUAUCACUGACCAACCUCCAAACUUUGAAACAUGU